rnacentral:lncRNA from 1 species
UAAAAAGAUUUUAGUUCACAAAAAAAUGGAAAACCUAAAGAUAAAUGUCCUGUACGCCUCUGCCUCCUGUCUUCCAUUGCACCACUCCUCGCACAAGAUGAAAAAAUGGAAUCAAAUGCAGCAGAACAAAUAUUGCUUCCAAAUGGGUUGAUGAUGAUCUGGUGGUUCAGAUCUGUUCGAUUUAGGAGCUUCUGCAAUCAAGGGAGGAGGAUUUCGUAUCAUUAGUAGCCAACAUGCUUUAUGAUUCUACGUGGUCCUGGAUACAGAUUAAAAAACUUCAUUCUGGGUAAGUUAUCUACUUCACUAACAUCUUUUAUCAUAUUACCCUAAAUCUCUACGUCUGAAAUCUUCGUUCUUCAUCUUCGUUCAUCCGCAUCCGAGUCUUUGUUUACUAACAAAAUUUCUUGGAUAUGAAAUUGUGGUAGUUUGAACUGUUUCUGAAUUUUUGGGUUUCUGACCUUUUGGGCAUUCUCAAUCUGUAACUUCGUACGCACCGUGGCAUUUUGUGCUAAAAUAUAUCAUAUCAUACACAUAAAGAGAAUUUUACUGUACACCUUAAAUUCACCUUGAGUUAUGAGUGCACAACUUGGUUGGCACUAUAUCGGGUGUCAUUAAUGACUAAACACAUUGAAUCUUGAUGCUUAGAUUGCAAGCAAAUAAAUAUUUUAUUUCUUAUCAGUGUCUCUCUUUUCCACGCAAUGUCUCUGCUACAUAAUCUCUUAGUAGGGGUCUCUUAAAUUUAGUAAAAAUGGAUAAUUAGGUUGAAGUUAAAAAAAUGCAUUUGAUUUUAUGGGUUCCAAUUCCGUGAAAAUUGUGGAAGUGUCCGGCCGUUUACCUUAUAUCGGUGAUUUAAGACCAGCAUUUCUGUUUAAUUACAAACUACUAGUGCUCUGUAAAACCAAAGACAGCAUAGAUUUAUGUAAAAUCCGCAUCAAUAGUUUAAUUUGAAUAACGGGUUAACUUGAAGGAUUACCAUAUUAACUCAACUCUGCAUGCAGUAUCUAAUUGCUAUGAUGCUACCAAAAAUUGUACAUGAUGAUUUUCGGAGCUUGAGGACUUUGAAUGAGCACGAUCUUAGUCUUCCGGUACUUGAAACAAAGGCGAAAAGUUGCGUGCUCGUUGUCCCUCCAAUGCUUAAGUCAAAAAGGGAAUUUAUGCGUGAGACUAUAAACUGGAAAAAUAAUGAAAACGUACCUGUACAAUGGUCUCAUGCCUCAUAUUUAUAGGGGUAGGUAGUACAUUCCUGAUAGAAUUGGAAUUGGGUGACUUAUUACAAAGAUGCCUUUUGAAGAUUCAUAAGACCUUAUACCAUAUUUUUCUUUUUGCUGCUAACUUAUUUUACUCAAUGGUUUGUUGACAGUUAGACCUUUAAUUAAGGACCCAAAUUUGAUAAGAUGGACAUUAUUUUUGUAGGCAUUUUCUGGACUUAUUGCUCUUAUAUGAGGACAUGGUUAUAUAGUAUGCAUCAAUCAAAUAUAUGAUCUUGAGAUUGACAAGUAAGACACAGGGCCGGUCCUGUGAUAAUGGAGGCCCGAGGCGAGGUUUGUAAAUUGGGCCCCCGGACGAAAUCAACGUAAAAAUUUACGUAAAAAUCUAAUAACAUUUUCAAUUAUGUACGCAAAAAUUUGAGCAUUACAAGUUUACGAAAACAAUACAAAAUUAAAAUAACAUCCAAAAUCCAAAACUAUCCCCAUAAAAAAAAAAAUAAAAAAAAAAAUUUUGAAGCAAAAUUGGGCCCCCUAAGGGUUUUGGGCCUGAGGCUGAGGCCUCAAAUGCCUCAGCCCAGGACCGGCCCUGGUAAGACACACAUACGCGUGCAUAUAUAUAAGAAUAUCUCUACUGUCUUUCUAGGGAGGUCCUCAAGAGUAACAAUGUUUAACACUUGUUUUCUUUCUAUUUCUUGGAUACAUCCAUCUCACUGUUUUGCCCUAGCUUUGACAUAGGGUAAACAGGCUAUAUUUACCCGUAGCUACAGGAGAUCUUUCAGAGCAAUAUGCAUGGUUCAUGGUGUUACUGCUUGCUAUUAUUAGCCUUUUAAUUGUUGGGAUGAACUUUGGUCCUUUUAUAACUGGUCUUCAUUGCCUCGGUCUUUUACUUGGCACCUUCUAUUAAUUAUUGGGAUGAACAAUUUCUUCUCCAUGCUGCAUACAUAUUCUUUUUGUUUUCUUCUAAAUGGUUCAUUCUUAUUAAUUUAUCAGGCGUAGACUACUGCAUCAAGAAACAACUUUGCAAGUAUUCUGGGUAUUAUUUGUAAUUCUAAAUAAUUGGCAUAUGCUUUUCCUUAUUCAAGACAUUCCAGAUAAUAAUGCGAAUGAAACUAGUUUCUUCAAGUGAGAGGAUUCCUUAUAAAUUAUGGUGUGUAUUUUGCCACGAGAGCUGCUGUGGGUCUAUCAUUCGAGUUGAGGUAAAUUCAUAUUUAAUAUCCGUUCUUAUAGCACAGAUUUAUUCAGUUGAAUUGUAAUUAGCCAGAUUGAAACCAGUAGAAGUUAGCUUGAAUGGUACUCAUUUUUUAUUAAUAUCUAGAUAUAGAUAUAACUCCAAAAUAAGGUUUUUGAAUAUGGUAAAUGUUAGUUCAAGGAGUGUAUGCUUCAAGUUGCCGUCUGAAACAUUUAAAAAUCUAUUAUAGUAAAUUGCUUUAUGGAUAUUGUACCCAGUUAAUUUAGUCAUUGUCAUACCCUUGUUUUCUCCUGCAGCUCACCUGUGGCUAUUUAUUACAGCUUGUCACUUUAUUUACGCUUGUCACCUAUGGAUAUUGUCCAAGUUAAUUGUAGUAAAUAUCUUGCAGAUGUAGAGGGUGAUCGAAAAUAAGUUUUAAAACCAAAAAUUUGCAUGAAUUGCUCUAGUUUAUUUUUCCCACGAAAGGUUUUUAUUAAUAAUAUUAUAUUACUGCCAUUUCCUUACAUUUUCACUUGUGCUUGUUGAAUUUUGAGUCUUUGAAAGAAGCCAUAUCUUUUCUUGAAAUGCAAUCCUAUCUUACACGCCUCAGGUGAUGUGCAUUCUCUCAUGAUCUAACUUAAUUAACCUACUUUCCAUUAAUAUGUCUUUAUCUACAUUGGUUCAAUACUGGUUUGAAUUUUCAUGCCUCGGAUGAUGUGCAUCAUCUCAAGAUCCAACUUAACCUUCUUUCCAUUGAUACGUCCUUAUCUACCUGCCAUGAUAUAGCACUCAUAUAUGGAAUAUAUUACAGGCAUUCAAGAGAAGCUUGAUGGUAUUUGCACCUCUCAUCUUGACAGCGAGUUCAAUUUUCCCAGUAAAUUUCUUUUAUUUAUUUCAUGAUGUUCACCAGAUCUCUAGUUGGACUGUAAUUAGCUUAUUCCUAUUCCAGCGAAACUCGAUUGUCUUUAUUUUCUCUUCUCGUUACGAUUUUCUGCCCUGUUUUGUCUUAUUCUACUUGAAUUUAUUAAGAAUAAAAUAGUAAGCACUUGUGAUUUCAAUUAUGUUGGUUCGUCA